rnacentral:rRNA from 1 species
GACGAACGCUGGCGGCGUGCUUAACACAUGCAAGUCGAACGGAAAGGCCCUGCUUUUGUGGGGUUCUCGAGUGGCGAACGGGUGUGUAACCCGUGAGUAACCUGCCCUUGACUUUGGGAUAACUUCAGGAAACCGGGGCUAAUACCGGAUAGGAGCUCCUGCUGCAUGGUGGGGGUUGGAAAGUUUCGGCGGUUGGGGAUGGACUCGCGGCUUAUCAGCUUGUUGGUGGGGUAGUGGCUUACCAAGGCUUUGACGGGUAGCCGGCCUGAGAGGGUGACCGGCCACAUUGGGACUGAGAUACGGCCCAGACUCCUACGGGAGGCAGCAGUGGGGAAUAUUGCACAAUGGGCGGAAGCCUGAUGCAGCAACGCCGCGUGCGGGAUGACGGCCUUCGGGUUGUAAACCGCUUUCGCCUGUGACGAAGCGUGAGUGACGGUAAUGGGUAAAGAAGCACCGGCUAACUACGUG